GACGAACGCUUGCGGCGUGCUUAACACAUGCAAGUCGAACGAGUGGCGAACGGGUGAGUAACACGUGGGUGAUCUGCCUUGCACUUCGGGAUAAGCUUGGGAAACUGGGUCUAAUACCGGAUAGUGCAAUAUGAGCGCUCGGCCUAUCCGCUUGUUGGUGGGGUAAUGGCUACCAAGGCGCGCCGGGUAGCCGGCCUGAGAGGGUGUACGGCCACAUUGGGACUGAGAUACGGCACAGACUCCUACGGGAGGCAGCAGUGGGGAAUAUUGCGCAAUUGGCGGAAGCCUCAGGCAGAGACGCGGCGUGGGGGAUGAAGGCCUUCGGGUUGUAAACUCCUUUCGACAGGGACGCGGUACCUGUAUAAGAAGCACCGGCUAACUACGUGCCAGCAGCCGCGGUAAUAC
rnacentral:rRNA from 1 species